UCGAUAUCUGUGGCAGAAAGACUCCUGGCAAAGAUACUGGUUGGAGGCUUGGUGGGCUCUGCAAAUGAAUUCAGGAAAAUUUACAACUGCGUCAGCUUUAUCACAACAGCAACAAGGGCAAGCUCUGAGCAUUCUUAGGACUAUGUGAGAGGCAUUGUAAAUGCAGGACCUUCCCAGAAGAAGGCCGGCUGGGUUCCCCAAUGCCAAUCACGUUAGCUGCAACAGUUCGGAAUUCAUAUUCAACCCAUGGAUUCAAACCCACCACAGUUGCUGUGAAUGUCUUCCCAUCGACGAGUUCUGGAACUGAAAGAUAUCCAAAGAAGUUUCUGACAGACAACGGCACCCAGCAUGCAAUAUGGUACCUGUGCUGACUGCUUGCCAUCCCACGGAGAAUGGAGUCCUAGCUUGGAUGACAUACAUGGUGAUAGGGCUGUGGUUGUCAGGUCCUGGUCUCCAAGAAAGCUGAGCAGUGGUGUCUGUGAUUUCAUCUAUGGUCACAGCCUCAGGAGGACCUGGAGGACCUGGAAGAAGGAAAAGCAUUCAGAAUUAGACAGUGUACUCAAAUGUCCAAGUAUGUAACCUACUCACUUAAAUGGGGGUACUGAAUCACUCAGUCAUGUGUUUACCUACAUGUCCAUUUCAUAAUUUCUUUUUAAAAAUCUCCUGGGUAACAAGAACCUAGUUUAACUUUGAAACUAUAGCAAUGAACUGAUACAUGUUGCUUUUUGCAGAGCCUCCCAGAACAUAGGGAAAACACAAACAGGCAAAGAAAGGAUUACAGUGGAACAUCGGGAGAGUAUGUUGGGGCACUUGCUGCCAUCCUCACUGCAUUCAGCAGCUGCACGUGCUUUUAAGCAAAGGGACUGCUGUGAAAAUGGCCAGUUCACAAGAGUCAUCCUCCUCUUUGAAGUAAUUCCAAAACUGAGUUGGAGUCUAACAUCCCCCAGGAUGUUAGUUUCUAUAUGACAUUCCUAUAUUUUUCUACUUAUCUUGCUGAUGGUUAUGCUUCUCUGCUUCUGUGUACUUAAACCAUUGAAAAAAGAAGAAAUGCUAUCUAAAUGGCAGUCUGGAGAUCAUACACAGAGGGAUAGAACAACAAUUAUGAGGUGAAACAUCAAGAGGGUCAGAGGAAAGACCCAGAACUUUCCUAGCUGCCAGUAUUACAAGCUGUGGCCAGACAGUUAAA